rnacentral:sRNA from 1 species
UGUGGCAUGGCGGUCGUUGACACGAUUUA